UACGAAGGGGGCUAGCGUUGUUCGGAAUCACUGGGCGUAAAGCGCACGUAGGCGGAUCUUUAAGUCAGGGGUGAAAUCCCGGGGCUCAACCUCGGAACUGCCUUUGAUACUGGGGAUCUCGAGUCCGGGAGAGGUGAGUGGAACUGCGAGUGUAGAGGUGAAAUUCGUAGAUAUUCGCAAGAACACCAGUGGCGAAGGCGGCUCACUGGCCCGGAACUGACGCUGAGGUGCGAAAGCGUGGGGAGCGAACAGG
rnacentral:rRNA from 1 species